rnacentral:lncRNA from 1 species
AGAUUGGUGAAGUAAGAAACUGUCACUCGUGAUAGCCCGAGGCAUUUGGAACUUUACUUUUGCUUCUGUAGCGUCUCGGACGGUGUUAUCAUCUAGAAGCUCCGAGUUUCCUCAAGAUGAACUUUAAUGAAUGUGUGCAAGAUGGUGAUCGAACAAGAAGAGCGGGCUUUGUCGUCAAAGGUCUGGAUUCCAAACUGGUUGCUGUGGGUGGGUGCUAGAUCUUCACCUGCUCAGUGGCUGGAGUGGAACUGAGGGCCGCCAGGGCCGACCUCAACCAUGCGCGUUGCACUUUGAGGGCC